AAUUCUCUCCGGGUUGGUUUACCUGCAUAGCAAAAGAAUAAUUCACAGGGACAUAAAGCCAGACAAUCUGCUUGUCGAUUCUAACAACAUCUUAAAGCUCGUUGACUUUGGUUUGGCUAAGCAUGUUCUUAAAAAAAUAGAAUACAAGAGCUCGCUUGAAGCUUAUGCUGCUGAUAUAUGGAGUUUGGGCUGCGUAAUGAUUGAAAUGUUCUCAGGGAAGCAUCCUUGGUCUGGUUUUGAACCGCAACAGGUGUUCUUUAGAGUUUGUCUUAAAGAGGAAAAUCCGGACAUACCAGAAGGAUUAUGCCAAGAUGGUAAGGAUUUUCUGGAACUCUGCUUCGCAAGAAAUCCGGCCCAGCGGCCAUCUGCUGCAGCAUUACUAGAACAUCCCUUUGUAAAAGCGCAAACAACCUAGCCAGCCGAUGGAAGAAAGUUUCAAUGAUUGAUGAUGUCCGCUUAAGUCUCGUUUGAUACGAAGUAUUGAAAAUAUGGGAUUGAAAUUGAGAUUGAGAAAAUAUAUUAGAAGAAUGCUUAGCAUGGAAGAUUGCUUGUUACUUGUAAUUAGACAAAUCUAUAUAGGUGAGAUUGAGUAGAUUUUCUCAAUCCCAAUCAUAAUUCUUAUAUUGCAUUGUCAAUGCUUCAUACCAAAUGAGAUCUAAGGGUUAUCUCUUCA